UCCGAUAUAGUGUAGGGGUUGUAAGUAACAUUCAUCACAUUUCAAAUGUAUGUCCACUAACGUUCACAAGAACAUACUCCGCUUUCAAGAAGAGCCGGAGAGCCCCGGGUUCGAUUCCCGGUAUCGGAA